UGGGGAAUUUUGCACAAUGGGGGAAACCCUGAUGCAGCGACGCCGCGUGAUUUAGAAGGCCUUCGGGUUGUAAAAAUCUUUUGUAUGGGAAGAAAAUGACAGUACCAUAUGAAUAAGGACCGGCUAAUUCCGUGCCAGCAGCCGCGGUAAUACGGAAGGUCCAGGCGUUAUCCGGAUUUAUUGGGUUUAAAGGGAGCGUAGGCUGUUUGUUAAGCGUGUUGUGAAAUGUAAGAGCUCAACUUUUAGAUUGCAGCGCGAACUGGCAGACUUGAGUGCGCACAACGUAGGCGGAAUUCAUGGUGUAGCGGUGAAAUGCUUAGAUAUCAUGACGAACUCCGAUUGCGAAGGCAGCUUACGGGAGCGCAACUGACGCUAAAGCUCGAAGGUGCGGGUAUCGAACAGG
rnacentral:rRNA from 1 species